rnacentral:rRNA from 1 species
UGACUUUACCGAGUGGCGAACGGGUGAGUAACGCGUGAGGAACCUGUCUCACACAGGGGGAUAACGCACCGAAAGGUGUGCUAAUACCGCAUAAGACCACAGUGCCGCAUGGCACAGAGGUCAAAGGAGAGAUCCGGUAUGAGGUGGACUCGCGUCCGAUUAGAUAGUUGGUGAGGUAACGGCCCACCAAGUCAACGAUCGGUAGCCGACCUGAGAGGGUGAUCGGCCACAUUGGGACUGAGACACGGCCCAGACUCCUACGGGAGGCAGCAGUGGGGAAUAUUGGGCAAUGGGCGCAAGCCUGACCCAGCAACGCCGCGUGAGGGAAGAAGGUUUUCGGAUUGUAAACCUCUGUCCUCAAUGAAAAGAGUAAGAUGGUAAUUGAGGAGGAAGCCCCGGCUAACUACGUGCCAGCAGCCGCGGUAAUACGUAGGGGGCGAGCGUUGUCCGGAAUGAUUGGGCGUAAAGGGCGCGUAGGCGGCCUGUUAAGUCUGGAGUGAAAGUCCUGCUUUCAAGGUGGGAAUUGCUUUGGAUACUGAUAGGCUUGAGUGCAGGAGGGGUUAUCGGAAUUCCCGGUGUAGCGGUGAAAUGCGUAGAGAUCGGGAGGAACACCAGUGGCGAAGGCGGGUAACUGGACUGCAACUGACGCUGAGGCGCGAAAGUGUGGGGAGCAAACAGGAUUAGAUACCCUGGUAGUCCACACUGUAAACGAUGAAUGCUAGGUGUAGGAGGUAUCGACC